CUGUCUCCAUUCCCUUGGUUCAUUAGGAUCAUACUCAUCUGCAUCCCAUUGACUAGUAUAAAGACUCCGUAGACCCCUAUAUUUUUUAAAGCGCUCCCUUGCUAAUUCAUUAGGUUGAAGCUCUACCUCAUCGGGAAAUUCAAGUUCUUCCUGUAAUUCUUUUUGCUUCUUGCGGUAUUCCUCGUAUUGUCUAACUUCUUCUUCUUCCGAUAAAUCAACAAACAUUUCCGAUUUAGCAUCAUCGAUUGUUUCUUCUUCGUCACUAUC